rnacentral:misc_RNA from 1 species
GCAAAGCCAGGCCAUAGAAAAUGCAAUGAAUGGAUCUCUGGAGCUCUUGGAUAUAUGUGAUACCACAAGAGAUUUAUUUUCACAGAUGAAGGAAUGUUUGCAACAACUUGAACUAUCUCUGCGUAGAAGUAAAGGCGGAGACUGCAGCUUGACAAGAGAAGUUGAUGCAUACAUGGUAUCUAGAAAGAAGUUGAACAAAGAAGUUUGCAAGUGUCUACGAAAUUUGAAGAAAAAGGAGAGGAAUUGUCCAAUGGCAGAUUUGGACAACAACUCCAAUUUGACAAACAUGAUUAGCAUGCUAAGAGGAGUUCAAGAAAUUGGCCUUGUGGUGUUUGAGUCGAUCUUAUCUUUUAUUUCUCAGCCAAAGGCAAAGUCAGCAUCCUCUAGCUGGUCUGUCAUCUCAAAAUUAUUGCAAUCCAAGCAUGUGUUAUGUGAAGUGGAAAUCAAAGCCAAUGAAGCAAGGAAGAUUGUUGCUGAAUUGCUUAUCCUGAAGUAAAGCAAAGACAUCAGUAUUUCACAACUUCAAAAUGUUCUAAAAGGAUUAGAAGCACUGGAGUCAAGCGUUCAAGAAGUAGAGGAGGAGCUGAAAUGUAUCUAGAGGCAAUUGGUGAAAACCAGAGUAUCCCUUCUCAACAUUCUGAAUCAUUAAUGUUGGUGUUUCCAUCAACAGUGAGUGUGCUUUCAGAGAGAAGGCAUAGCCCAUUUCAGGUAUAGCUAUCGGCUUGUUUCUCACACCCAUAAGCGUGAGUCGUUGUAAAGACUAUUCAUUCUGUAAUCUCCUUGGUGAAAUAAGAACUUCCUCGCUGAUGAUUGCUUCUUCUAUUCUCUCUAUGUUCUUUCUGUUGUUUCUUCUUGAAUCAUAACACUCACUCUCUCAGACUCAUUCCCUUUCAAUUCUCUCCCUCAUCCUCACUUCUUUUCCUCGGUCCUUCUGCUCACCGCUCGCCUCAACCAUCCACCACCUCUCUCGAUGAUAAAUUGCCUCAAAUCGCUCCACAUUCGCUCAUGCCCUAACCCCUUUUGCAAAGCCUCAAUUAUGUCUUUUGCAAUCAAACGGAACCCUCAAGCUCUUUGGGUGUAUUGCGGGCAUCAUUUUCUCUGCUUUCAUUUGCUCGAAUUGGUGAGAAACAGAAACAAAUUGGAUAGAACUUUUCGUGACAGUAAACAGAAACGAAUCGAGAUUUUUUUUCUAAGAUAUGGAAGGGCAAGCCUUACAGUGCGUACCCUUAUCCCUUAUUAGUUUAUCCCUUUCUAAAUGGGUAAUUUUAUCUACUUGGCUUUCGCCCUCAUCCAGACAGAAGUGCUACCUUAU